rnacentral:rRNA from 1 species
UACGUAGGGUGCAAGCGUUAAUCGGAAUUACUGGGCGUAAAGCGUGCGCAGGCGGUUCGCUAAGACAGAUGUGAAAUCCCCGGGCUUAACCUGGGAACUGCAUUUGUGACUGGCGGGCUAGAGUAUGGCAGAGGGGGGUAGAAUUCCACGUGUAGCAGUGAAAUGCGUAGAGAUGUGGAGGAAUACCGAUGGCGAAGGCAGCCCCCUGGGCUGAGAUUGACGCUCAGGCACGAAAGCGUGGGGAGCAAACAGG